rnacentral:lncRNA from 1 species
AGGAAAUUUUAUUCUCAGUAGAGAUUCUUUUGAUCUUUGUUAGUGUGUACUAGUUGUACUUUCACGUUCCUAAUUAAAACAAUUACGUAUUAAUAUCGUUUAUUGUUAUAAUUAGCUAUGGUAAAUGAGUGUAUUUUCUGUGGUUUGUGUACGAGCGGAGAGUUACGUGGUGUAGCGGUUGCGGUACACUGUCUGUUUACAUUACGCCGUGAUGUAAACAAUGUACGGAACAGUUGGUCCUAAUUCUGCUACAGUCCACGAAAUAUCCGAUAUACAAGUAAGCUAGAAGAAUGAAUGUUUUAAUAUGGAGAUGAUGGAGAGAAAGCAGCUUCCAUGCAAGUCAUUAAAGCGUGCUAGAGAAUUCGUGGAAAUUCAAACCGACGAAUGCAGUGCCGUUCGUAACUUUGUGAUGAAGUGCUUACCUGAGGUGCCACGAGUCGCUGGAUCGAUCGUCCUCAAUGGACUCCCUUGUGUUUACGUCACCAGUGCCCAACAACUAGUAUAGCUUACAUCAAAAGUAGUGAGGAGCUCCGGUCUGGUCCAAGAAUGGCGAAAUCUGUAGUGGUUUGGGGGAAAAUAAACUUGCUCAAAUA